rnacentral:lncRNA from 1 species
AUUGGAAGCAGAGCUGCGAGUUAGGAAGCGGCUCGCUGGCAGCUGGGCACGUUUCUUUCCUGCGAGAUCGGCUUUUUUGAUUUGCUCUUUUUCACAUGAAAAUGUUCAGCUUCAUUUUUAGACACCUUUAGACAUGGUUAUCACUGUUUAAAGCCUUGAUUUUUUUUUAAACAAAUAGUUUGCAUUUUAUUCAUUGAAACAGGGAGAGAACAAAUACCAUCCUGCUUUUUGGGCUGCCUUCCUAUUUCAAGGAAAGACGCCAAGGUAAUUUUGACCCAGAGGAGCAAUGAUGUAGCCACCUCCUAACCUUCCCUUCUUGAACCCCCAGAGACGGCGUUUUGCAACGUUGACCAGGCUGGUCUCAAACUCCUGAGCUCAGGUGAUCUGCCCACCUCAGCCUCCCAAAGCACUGGGAUUACAGCCGUGAGCCACCAUUGCUGGACUGUUAUUGUAUAUUUGUAAUGCUGAUCACAAAGGU